rnacentral:lncRNA from 1 species
GGCCGACAGAUGGAGCCACCGCGCCUAGCCGCCAGCGCCAAACGCGGGGAGUUUCCGACCGAGCGGGUGCCGGACCCGGACCACGAGGUCGAACACAAGAACGCUGCUGUCGUAGUUGGUGUGCUCUUCGCCGCGACGUGUGAAGAAGACGCCACGGGAACACGCGUUGUUCAUUGCUGCAGCCUUUUAAACGUCGUUGUUGCCUAAAUAAGUGGCUGAUAUUCUGCGGCUUCGACAUCGGCCCCUUCUCUUCCGUAUCCUCCCUGGCUGGACCUAGUAACAGCUAUUGAAUCUAGGAAGUCGCUGAGUUCGACGGGUCUGUAAGUCAUGUCUCACAUUUCGGGCACCACAAGCUGUGUAGCCGAGUCAAGCACAAGGGUAGUCGCAAAAUGGACAAAGUAUGUCACCCGACUUGACCGACAGUUAAACGUGCAAAGGUUGAUACAAUCGGAACAAAUUGUUCGUUAGGACCGGACGUGAAAGUACCAUCACCUGGAAGCACAAGGGUUAUCGAACAUGGAACCCAGGAGAUCAACUUUCGGAUUUCACUUCGAAAAAAAAAAAGGAAUCGUUUAGACCGAGCGCCUGGAUUGCGA